ACAUGCAGAGUACGUGUUGGCGCUAAUCCAAUCGAGAGGACACCAUGUCCCGGGAGGAUGGGUGCCCUGGAGAAAUCCAUCAGAGGUUUCGCGGAAAGAUAAGGAGAUGACGUGGUGAAGCCUGAACUUGGGACAACAUUCGACUCACUGACAGAAGCGUAUGACUUCUACAAUUUGUAUUCGUGGGAGAAUGGGUUCGGCAUCAGAUACGGCAAGAGCAGACUGAACCCAGACAAGAGGAAAACAAUGCAAGAGAUUGUGUGUGGAUGCUCGGGGAAACCAUUGAGGGAGAACUCACGGUCGUGUCAAUGUGAGUGCCCUGCUAUGAUUAGGUUGUUAAGGACGUCCGACAAUGGGUGGUAUAUUACUGAGCAUAGAGUUAAGCACAACCAUGUGUUGACUCCAAAUUGUGGGGAGAUGUUGCACUGGCCUUCUCACAAACACAUAGAUGUGUACACUAGGGACCUGAUUCGGAACCUAAGAAAGAACAACAUCAACCUAAGCAAGGUGUACAGCAUAAUCGGGGGGUUCUUUGGGACGGUCGAGAAUGUACCAUUCACGAAGAGAUCUCUGAGGCACCUGUGUGGCCAGAUAAGCCGGGAGGAAGCUGAUGAUGAUGUUCAGAAAACAAUUGAGGUGUUUGAUGAGCUAGGGGCAAAAGAUCCGGAGUUCUUAUUUAGGGUACAAGCGGAUGAACAGAGCAAAAUAAGGAAUCUAAUGUGGGCAAGUGGAGAUAGUCGGUUGAAGUACAAAUUUUUUGGGGAUGUCGUGACGUUCGACACAACUUACAGGAUGAACCUGUACGAUAUGCCGUUUGGUCUAUUCGUUGGGGUGAACAACCACUACCAGAGCAUACUCCUAGGUGGGGUGCUGUUGAGAGAUGAACAGGUUGAGAGCUUUGAGUGGGUGUUCACAGAGUUUGUGAGGAUGAUGGGCGGUGUGGCACCCCAAACCAUACUAACAGAUCAGUGCCGGGCUAUGGAGGUCGCUAUUAAGAAUGUACUUCCUAACACGGCGCAUCGGUGGUGUAAGUGGCAUGUGUUGAAGAAAGCCAAGGAAAGUUUGGGCGCAAUGUUUGCGAAAAGAAAUGAGUUUAGGCAGGAAUUUCAUAAAGUGGUGGACCACAUGCUCACGGUAGAGGAGUUUGAGGAGGCUUGGUGA
rnacentral:rRNA from 1 species